ACUUGCGCCGUUGAACGCUGCUCACUGGUCUUGAUUAGCGUAAACGGGUCAAGUGC
rnacentral:pre_miRNA from 1 species